CACUUAUUCAAACAGGACAUUGUUAUUAGUCAGACCAGGUGUGAUUCUUGAUUCUUUAACCAGUAACUACUUUUUAUCACAUAAUUAAUGAGCAAUGCACUUCUCCAACGAUACUAUUCCAUUCUUGAGUAUUUCAUUAUAUUACACUCUUUAUUAUAAUGCAACAUGCCAAGUUGUUUACUGAUCUAGAAUACAGGACUGUAUAAUUUUAACUUGAGACUGAUUUCUCCAUUGCUUCUGGAGGUAUUGGCAUAAUAAAAAGAUUAUCACAUUUGCA
rnacentral:lncRNA from 1 species